UGCCAGACUCCUACGGGAGGCAGCAGUGAGGAAUAUUGGUCAAUGGCCGAGAGGCUGAACCAGCCAAGUCGCGUGAGGGAAGACGGCCCUACGGGUUGUAAACCUCUUUUGUCGGGGAGCAAAGCGAGUCACGUGUGACUCAUUGAGAGUACCCGAAGAAAAAGCAUCGGCUAACUCCGUGCCAGCAGCCGCGGUAAUACGGAGGAUGCGAGCGUUAUCCGGAUUUAUUGGGUGUAAAGGGUGCGUAGACGGGAAGGCAAGUUAGUUGUGAAAUCCCUCGGCUUAACUGAGGAACUGCAACUAAAACUAUCUUUCUUGAGUGCGGGAGAGGAAAGUGGAAUUCCUAGUGUAGCGGUGAAAUGCGUAGAUAUUAGGAGGAACACCAGUGGCGAAGGCGACUUUCUGGACCGUAACUGACGUUGAGGCACGAAAGUGUGGGGAGCAAACAGGAUUAGAUACCCUCGUA
rnacentral:rRNA from 1 species